UACGUAGGGCGCGAGCGUUGUCCGGAUUUAUUGGGCGUAAAGAGCUCGUAGGCGGUCUGUUGCGUCGGCUGUGAAAACCCGGGGCUCAACUCCGGGCCUGCAGCCGAUACGGGCAGACUAGAGUUCGGCAGGGGAGACUGGAAUUCCUGGUGUAGCGGUGAAAUGCGCAGAUAUCAGGAGGAACACCGGUGGCGAAGGCGGGUCUCUGGGCCGAUACUGACGCUGAGGAGCGAAAGCGUGGGGAGCGAACAGG
rnacentral:rRNA from 1 species